AUAUGGUGUGAUAAGAACAGAUUUUGAAGAAACCCUAUUCAAUAAGUGAAUUAUAGUUAAUAAGGUAUGUCUCCAAAGAUAUAAGGAUAAAUCAGUGAAGCUCAUCAUGGAUCUGAUCAUAUCUAAUAGGAUCUUAUUCCUCCUUUCGGAUAUCCUGUUGAGCUGAGAUAUUUCGAAAGGAGUCUAUUAAGAGACUAUACUAUUGUCCUUAAGAUAUCUCAAAAAUUUUGUGACUAAGGUAUUUACCUCCUCAAUCAGAUUAAAGAAUCUUAAUAGAUUUAUCUAUUUAUUUUUUUACUU
rnacentral:lncRNA from 1 species